rnacentral:lncRNA from 1 species
AGCCCACAAGAAUAAACGGCCUGCGGCGGCCAAAACGGCUGGUGGAGCGAUCACUCAUGUGGCCGACUAGAGGCUGCACGACUAGGCCCGAUAAUGGUCCGCAAAGCCAUAUAAUACUGGCCCACUUAUGCGGAAUUCCUAGCUCCUGCACGUAAGGUGUUAAGAGAGAGAGCUGUAAAGCCCAUCCGAACUGUAUGCCACCGGCGAUUGAAGUCACACGUAGUAGUUGCCGCAACGGUACUCUGCGGAUUACCGGUGGUCUAGCUCUGGCUCGAUGUGACUCCGCUUGUGGGAUUGCCAUCCCUUUUCCUCGAAAGGAACACGCACAAGCCCCGAACACUCACUAUCUAUGGCAAUCGAAGUAACUGUUUCUGAGUUUGUGCGCGUCUGCUUAUCUCAGUCUUUACACACACUCUCUCUCUGUCAAGUGUUUUUCAGCUUUUAGAAAUCAGAGGACUGAAGAAAGGAAGAACUUGAGUGAAUUGGCGGUUUUGUCGAUCGUUGCAAUUAUAGAACUACCCUUAUCCAUUAUGUAAUAUUACAGAUAGAUCUCAUCGAAAUAAAACGAGAAAAUAUCGGAGAGGCCGUGGAUGGUAAAUGACAAAGAAAAUGAGGGCAAAUGUUUGAAAAGGAAAUAUAUUGUUUUAGUCUUUUAGAGAGGUUUGGGGUAAGCUAAAUUAAACAGCCAAGUCGCCUGCAAGUGACGUUUGGAAUAUUGGAAUUCUGAAUCUAAAAUGACAGGAAUACCCCUAAAAAGAUACAAAUAGCAAGUCUGUUUUUGUAAUGCGAGGGCGUUUUUAUUGUUACAAAAGGAAACGUGGAGAGUGAUGGUUGGACCCUUAGGCUAGGCCAUUUGAUGUUUUAGGUACAUGAACCAAUGGGGCCAACCGUUGUUAAUAUUAGUAUGUUUACUAACAUCUCUCUCUCUUCAUCAUUUAUUUCCUUCCAAAUGAAUACAUAAUUUAAUCUAUAAAUUUUGACAUACAAAUUUCAUGUUAUUUUAAAUUUUAAAAAAUCAAGCUUGUGGUAUUAUAAAUUUUAUUUUUUAUUAUUAUACUAAAUUUUAAAUCUUUUCACGUUAACGACAAUAAUUUUUAAAAUUUUUAUUUAUAUAUAUAUAUAUAUAUAUAUAUAUAUAUAUAUAAUAUUAGUUUAAUAUAUAAUUAGUAUAAAUUUUUUAAUAAUGACUUUUGUGUUUUUUAAUUAACUAAUAAAUGUUUUAUAACUUGAGAUGUUCGAUGGAUAAAAUUAAAAUGAAUAAAUAUAAUUUUAUAAAAUUGAAAUAUAUAAUAAAUUAAAUUAAAAAUUUAAAAAUAUCAUAAAAUUUUUAGUGAAAAGUACAAGUUGAAUAUUUUUCUUCAUUAGUUGUUAAAAUGCAUGAUAGAGACGGUAGUUGUUAAAGUGCAUGAUAGAGACGUGUUUGUUAAGUAAAUAUCUUGGAAGUGGAAUAGUAGUUGAUUUUUCAUAUAUUUAUAGUUCGUUUUAUUGUUUUAUAAGUUAAAGACAUUUUUUUUUUCUUUGAAAUGCUAAACAUUUAUAUUAUUAGUCAAAAAUAAAUUUCAACAACUUCACCGGAGCUUUUCCUCCUUCAAUUUUUUUUUUUUUUUUUUUUUUUUUUUAUUGGCGGGUUUUCUUUUUUACUUCAAAAUUUGCAAUUUGCUACAAUUGAAUCCUAUUUUUUUUAUCCUGCCAUUUGAAAUUGUGCUACUUUUAAUAAGAUAAACUAUUAUAUUUUAGUUUGAUAAUUUUAUUGCUAUUAUAUAAUCAAAACUAAAAUAUAUAUAUAUAUAUAUAUAUAUAUUAUUUAUAAAGAAUAAGGUUAAACUUACGCAAUGAAUUUUAGCAUAAUAUACAGUUUGUUCAAAAAUAUUUUUUUGUAUAAUUAUUACACAAAAUUUAUAAUAAAUGAGCGAAAAAAAGACCUAAUUUUUGAGAAACAUUAAAGUAAUAAUUUUAAUAUUUUUAGCUUAUAAAUUAUUUUUAUCCUUUAAUAAUAAUAAUAUUCAAAAUUAGUAUUUUAUUCAUUGACUCCAAAUUAGAUGGUUCUAAUUAUUUGGUGUAAAAUUAGGGCGGAAGGGGUAUAAAAAGUUAAUUUUUAAAUAAAUUAUAUAUCUUUCCCAAAAUAAAUCGGGACGAGUUGAACCUUUUUCUAAUUAUAAAUGAAAAAAUUAUUUUAAUAUUUUCUUUAGUUUCUCCCUCGGUUCUUUUUUAUUUUUAUUUUUUUUUUUUUUUGAAAAUUUCAUUUAUCUAUGAUUAGAUUUUCCGUAAAUGAUCCCUUUUAAUUUCUAAUGGAUUUUAAAUAAAAAAUUCAUCCAUAAUUAGAUUUAAAUAAAUUCAUAAAUUCAAUUCGAUUAUUUCCACAAAUUAAACCCGAGCCCAGUAAAUCUAAAAAUUGAACCAAUCAAAACAGAAUUAAUUCACAUCCAUCAAAUAACGCGAAAAUUUAAAUUAAAUAAAUUGGAGCUCUAUAAUUACCAGUAAGAUCAGCAAGAAGAGCUCUGCAAGGACCUUGAGUCAUGUUAUUUGCCACAUCCAGAAUCCAAAAUCCGAAAACAAAAACUCCAAUUGCUCUUGGCCUGGUGUUUCCCCUGUCCCCCAAUAGCCAACCGAUAUCGGCGGAGUGACCGAUGAUUAAAACUGCAAGACAAAUUAAACCCGAGCCCACAAGAAUAAACGGCCUGCGGCGGCCAAAACGGCUGGUGGAGCGAUCACUCAUGUGGCCGACUAGAGGCUGCACGACUAGGCCCGAUAAUGGUCCGCAAAGCCAUAUAAUACUGGCCCACUUAUGCGGAAUUCCUAGCUCCUGCACGUAAGGUGUUAAGAGAGAGAGCUGUAAAGCCCAUCCGAACUGUAUGCCACCGGCGAUUGAAGUCACACGUAGUAGUUGCCGCAACGGUACUCUGCGGAUUACCGGUGGUCUAGCUCUGGCUCGAUGUGACUCCGCUUGUGGGAUUGCCAUCCCU